rnacentral:rRNA from 1 species
UACGUAGGGGGCGAGCGUUAUCCGGAAUUACUGGGCGUAAAGCGCACGCAGGCGGUUCGCCAAGUUUGGAGUGACAGUUGUCGGCUCAACCGAACAAAGGACUUCAAAAACUGGUGAACUUGAGGACGAGAGAGGAACAUGGAACUCCAGGUGUAGUAGUGAAAUGCGUAGAUAUCUGGAAGAACACCAAUGGCGAAGGCAAUGUUCUGGCUCGUUUCUGACGCUCAGGUGGCGAAAAGCCAGGGGAGCGAACGGG